UGGGGAAUUUUGGACAAUGGGCGAAAGCCUGAUCCAGCAAUGCCGCGUGUGUGAAGAAGGCCUUCGGGUUGUAAAGCACUUUUGUCCGGAAAGAAAUCCUUGGCUCUAAUACAGUCGGGGGAUGACGGUACCGGAAGAAUAAGCACCGGCUAACUACGUGCCAGCAGCCGCGGUAAUACGUAGGGUGCAAGCGUUAAUCGGAAUUACUGGGCGUAAAGCGUGCGCAGGCGGUUUGCUAAGACCGAUGUGAAAUCCCCGGGCUCAACCUGGGAACUGCAUUGGUGACUGGCAGGCUAGAGUAUGGCAGAGGGGGGUAGAAUUCCACGUGUAGCAGUGAAAUGCGUAGAGAUGUGGAGGAAUACCGAUGGCGAAAGGCAGCCCCCUGGGCCAAUACUGACGCUCAUGCACGAAAGCGUGGGGAGCAAACAGGAUUAGAUACCCUGGUAGUCCACGCCCUAAACGAUGUC
rnacentral:rRNA from 1 species